rnacentral:rRNA from 1 species
GAUGAAUGCUGGCGGCGUGCCUAACACAUGCAAGUCGAGCGGCAGCGCGGUCUUCGGACUGGCGGCGAGCGGCGGACGGCUGAGUAACGCGUGGGAACGUACCCCAAAGUGAGGAAUAACUGCCCGAAAGGGUAGCUAAUGCCGCAUAUGGUCUUCGGAUUAAAGGAUUUAUCCGCUUUGGGAACGGCCUGCGUACGAUUAGAUUGUUGGUGAGGUAAUGGCUCACCAAGUCGACGAUCGUUAACUGGUCUGAGAGGAUGAUCAGUCAAACUGGAACUGAGACACGGUCCAGACUCCUACGGGAGGCAGCAGUGAGGAAUCUUCCACAAUGGGCGAAAGCCUGAUGGAGCAACGCCGCGUGCAGGAUGAAGGCCUUCGGGUCGUAAACUGCUUUUAUAAGUGAAGAAUAUGACGGUAACUUAUGAAUAAGCACCGGCUAACUACGUGCCAGCAGCCGCGGUA